UGGGGAAUCUUGCGCAAUGGGCGAAAGCCUGACGCAGCAACGCCGCGUGGAGGAAGAAGGCCUUCGGGUUGUAAACUCCUGUCAGGGGGAAAGAAGGCACCUGGGUGAAUAGCCCAAGGGCUGACGGUACCCCCAGAGGAAGCCACGGCUAACUACGUGCCAGCAGCCGCGGUACUACGUAGGUGGCGAGCGUUGUACGGAAUUAUUGGGCGUAAAGAGCGCGUAGGCGGCUUGCCAGGUCCGACGUGAAACCCCGGGGCUCAACUCCGGACGUGCAUCGGAAACCGGCUUGCUAGUGUCGGGGAGAGGGGAGUGGAAUUCCUGGUGUAGCGGUGAAAUGCGCAGAUAUCAGGAGGAACACCGGUAGCGAAGGCUGCUCCCUGGAACAGUACUGACGCUGAGGCACGAAAGCUAGGGGAGCGAACA
rnacentral:rRNA from 1 species